CCAUUAUUCGAUCGCCAGUCUCGUAUUUGCAGUAAAGGAAGUCGGUUCGACAUAAGAGAAAUGCUCGGGUAAACGUUCGUUGAAAGAUUAACAUUUCUCUGAGGAAGUUAAAUGAAUUAGAUGAACCGAGAAAGAACGUACACCUACAACGAUAACUGUGACGCGUGUACUAUCAACUUUUCAAAAGGAAUGUCAGAGUUCUUAUAACAUUUGGAUGCAUUUGCUUCAACAAGCUCGUUGUUUAAACAUGGAACGACGACUACACGAGGCAAAAGUGAAGAAAAAAUGCAAAAUAUAAAAUAUUCGAUCCGGGACUGGAUUGUUUUAAACGAUUAAGCAUCGAUCAAGAUGGACGAACGAUUGGAAAUUAUUUUAAAAGAAAAUCAUUUGCGGGCACGGAAACUUCGAGGAGCAAUUAUUCACGUUGUUGCGUUCUGAAAAUUAGAUUGGAAUUUCGCGGAACAAGAGGUAAGGAGGCAACGAAACUAUGUGUGUCACCUAAUGCCAUCUAAAUUAACGUUGCUUCGAGAAAUCUUCGUAAUUGUAUCAUAUAUUGGUAUGGACACAGCUUUCUCUUGCAUCAAUCGAAAUGAAUUAAUAUGUGCGACCUCGGUACACAGAUCCGCUUCGUUCGAAAUUCAAGCAUCGCUUCCCAUAAAAAUAGACCGUGACGAGACGACUAUUAAUUUUCCUUCAACGAUCCGUCGAACACAAACGACAUUCGCGCGUUUCAAUGAAGAGGCAUUUGUUAAGUCGUCGCAUUCAUAUAUUUGCAUUUCCGAAUGUUCAAGAGGAAAAGAUAUAGUAGAGUAUUAUGGAAAGUACGUACGAAAUAUUUCUCGAAGUAACAGAAAGUAACUUCGCGUUUCCGAUAUCGCGACAUCGAAACGAAGAGCAACGAUUUGUAAUCUCGAUCGAUUCUACGAUGUCUAUAUAUUAUUCCGAUGGUGCGUGUUUGUCGUAUGUGUGUGUGUGUUUGGCGUCUCCGAAGAACGGUUUUGCAAUGGAAAGUGUCUAUGAAGAUCAAAGAAAACGAUUGCAUACAAAAUUCGCGUAAUACAUAAUCUUUGACUGCUUCAGAUAUGAAUUGAGAUCUGUGGCUAACGUGAGCUCUUCCGAACGCGGCAGAGCUCGAUUUUAAACAGCCAAUUUUGUUAAUUAAUAUAUACGAUGUUUUGGCGUAGGUGUUUGAAGUAUGUACCGUAACAACGGCAUAACGUAACGUUAUCGUAAUGUCAAAAAUUUCUUCGUCGUGCAAUCGAAGUCAUCGAUCAUCAGGGUUCCUUUACGCUUCGGCGAACGCUGCUUUAUCAAGGAUCAUUGAUGAGACGGUGACUUCGCUAUUUAAUUCGUGCGCUGCGCGUUCGUAAUCGCACGAAAUAUUUUUAAAUUUCUUUGCCAGCGGUUGAUUAAAUUAUUUAUUUAUUUAUUAGCGUUUUCAUCGCGUUCGAAGCGGUAGUUUCGUAAUGUUGAUUUUUUACCGACACGAAACAGAGAACAAGUGUACGUAAAUGUUCGUUUGAGAGUGUGUUCAAGGAUAAAUACAACACGGGGUACAGAGGUAUAAAAUAACUCUUUAUUUGUUGCUGGCUUUUAAUCGGUUUCCGGAGGAUGCGUUCUUAAUAAAUCGUGAACGAAUUUUCGAACAACCGCGCGAUAUCUUCUUCGGAUUGUUCUCUCGGCGCUAGUUUUGUUAUACGAUGCUGCAAUCAAAAGAAAAUGUAUUAAGCGUCGCGAAUAAGCAUAUAAUGUGAAUAUGUGUAUACCUAUAAUUUGCGCAAAUACGAAUAAUGAAAUAUGUUCAUAAAGGUACGUACCAUUAACGCCACAAUUAUGAAUUCGUCAUAUGUAAAAGUGUGUAAUCUGUUAGCGAUAUGUCGAAUUUAUUUAAUUGUAAUAAAUCGUGUAUAGUGAUCAAUAAAUCACUAUUCUAAA